rnacentral:rRNA from 1 species
UACGGGGGGGGCAAGCGUUGUUCGGAAUUACUGGGCGUAAAGGGCUCGUAGGUGGCCAACUAAGUCAGACGUGAAAUCCCCUCGGCUUAACCGGGGGAACUGCGUCUGAUACUGGAUGGCUUGAGUUCGGGAGAGGGAUGCGGAAUUCCUGGUGUAGCGGUGAAAUGCGCAGAUAUCAGGAGGAACACCGGUGGCGAAGGCGGUUCUCUGGGCAUUACCUGACGCUGAGGAGCGAAAGUGUGGGGGAGCGAACAGG